GCUGCCCGCACACCCAUCUCUCUCCCCCCCAUCUGGUGUUCUCACAGGCUCCCAGCGGCUGGCCCGGGCACUUCUCAUUAAGGAGUUAUGUGUAACACAAACAAACCCGCUAUCCCAGAGUGUUUAUCUCAUGGCACAGAGCGCUGUGUGCCCGCACAUCAAAGACUGUGGGAACAGACGACGCUCGGCACAGCAGCUGCAAUGAGAUCCUGUACACACCCUUCCUGUUUGCCACGGUCUACCUCGGAGCUAUUAUUUUCCCAACAGCCCCACGACAAAAUCCCCCCUACUGCUGUGGCUACCGUACCACUCCCACCGCCACCUCCCCGGGCCGCACCGUGUCUUUCCAGAGGUCAGUUUCUCAUACAGGGUGAAAAAUCCUCCUAGUCCAGGCACGUGAUAUCUGCCAGCCCAGUGGGAAAGAGCAGAGCAGUGUGUAUCUGGGAGUUAUCGGGGACACCUUUCUCUCUCCCUGCGUCUAUCUGUGGUGGUUGUUGUGAACGGCCUCAGAUUCCUCUGGGUGCUCUGCGGGCCCGUUGAUGACAGGUAUUUUCCAGGCCUGGGCCUCUGCAGCCACAGCUGUCCCUCCCAGUGUUUCCCGCGCUGAGUGUGUGAAGAGGAGCUGGACGUGUGGGUGAUCGGGGGCCUGCUGGCACCCGGCCGCCCCCUUGGCAACCACCACGCGCCCCGAUAAGGGAGCUGACCCCACUGUUGUCACAUUCUUCCAGAGAUUAUCCAUGGUGGUUGGGGCAGAAUGUACUGGGCUGCCUGGGUAUAGAGAGCCAGAGAGGAGGGGCAAGGGUCAAGCACGUGUGGUAGUAGUGCCCUUCAGGUCUUAUCACUGAUAAGCUGUAGCGCUUUAGUGUCUUCCCAAAAGUGAUGGGGGACCGUGAAAAGCCCAUCUUGAAUUAGAAUGGCAUUAAUCUCAAGACUGGCCUGAAACAAAGGUCCAUUCCCAUGAUGCAGCUGGGCUUCAAGAAAUGUUGGUCAUAUGGGAAUUGCUAUUGCUUCCUAUGAUAUUUAUCUUGUACUUGCAUUUGGUAAAUGCACUGUUAAAAUAAAGUGUUACCCACACAUCAAUGACCAUAGUUCCCAUCCAUAUCACUCAUCACAAACUCCCUGCACAGUGUGUGAACACAACCUUAUUGCCAUUUCACAGGCAUCCUUCAUAGUGGAAGAAAACACAGUGAUAGGGCAACAUGGGGCACAGCCCAUAACAACAAUAUUUAGCAUUGUUUAUCAGGAGCCAGUGACCGGCUGUAUCAGUGUUGUGACUCUAGCGGGUCUUGCCCUGAUAGUAUCCGGCUGAGAGCUGCUUCCUGGACAGCCUUGUGGCUCCUCAGGGCCAGCGGGUCUACACCCACCCCAAGGAGAGAUGGCUGUCUGGGUGCUGGAGGGGAGAGGUCAGUCUGGAGACACUGAACACACUAGGACGUCUGUGAGAAAUCUCUUGCUUUCCACCAUAAAUCCAGAGAAUGCCAGACUUUGAAGACUAAGUUUGAUGACAAAAUUUCACGACAAUGGCCGCCGUGCAAUCUUCACAAGGUGAGUCCAAAAAUGUCUUGUAUGCUGCUGCAUAAAUUCUAUA